AAUAGAUACCCAGGUAGUCCACGCCGUAAACGAUGUCGACUUGGAGGUUGUUCCCUUGAGGAGUGGCUUCCGGAGCUAACGCGUUAAGUCGACCGCCUGGGGAGUACGGCCGCAAGGUUAAAACUCAAAUGAAUUGACGGGGGCCCGCACAAGCAGUGGAGCAUGUGGUUUAAUUCGAUGCAACGCGAAGAACCUUACCUACUCUUGACAUCCACGGAACUUAGCAGAGAUGCUUUGGUGCCUUCGGGAACCGUGAGACAGGUGCUGCAUGGCUGUCGUCAGCUCGUGUUGUGAAAUGUUGGGUUAAGUCCCGCAACGAGCGCAACCCUUAUCCUUUGUUGCCAGCGGUCCGGCCGGGAACUCAAAGGAGACUGCCAGUGAUAAACUGGAGGAAGGUGGGGAUGACGUCAAGUCAUCAUGGCCCUUACGAGUAGGGCUACACACGUGCUACAAUGGCGCAUACAAAGAGAAGCGACCUCGCGAGAGCAAGCGGACCUCAUAAAGUGCGUCGUAGUCCGGAUUGGAGU
rnacentral:rRNA from 1 species